rnacentral:rRNA from 1 species
CCUACGGGAGGCAGCAGUGGGGAAUAUUGCACAAUGGGCGCAAGCCUGAUGCAGCCAUGCCGCGUGUAUGAAGAAGGCCCUAGGGUUGUAAAGUACUUUCAGUCGGGAGGAAGGCGUUGGUGCUAAUAUCACCAACGAUUGACGUUACCGACAGAAGAAGCACCGGCUAACUCCGUGCCAGCAGCCGCGGUAAUACGGAGGGCGCAAGCGUUAAUCGGAAUUACUGGGCGUAAAGCGCACGCAGGCAGUUGAUUAAGUUAGAUGUGAAAUCCCCGGGCUUAACCUGGGAAUGGCAUCUAAGACUGGUCAGCUAGAGUCUUGUAGAGGGGGGUAGAAUUCCAUGUGUAGCGGUGAAAUGCGUAGAGAUGUGGAGGAAUACCGGUGGCGAAGGCGGCCCCCUGGACAAAGACUGACGCUCAGGUGCGAAAGCGUGGGGAGCAAACAGGAUUAGAUACCCCCGUAGUC